UGCUUUGUGCAGUGGCAGUAUUGUAGCCAAUGAGGUUUAUCCGAGUUGCGAUUAUUGCUAAUUAAAGUUUAUUUAUUAGAUAAAUUAAGAAAAAUCUAUCACAGUUUUAUCCCCUCAGUUUUAAAAUUCUUCUUUUUGA